CAUUUUGCAUAGUCUGUGAUGUGUCGGCUUGAGCGCAAUUAAGUUCAGCUCCAUCUUCCAAGGUAAAAGUCUCUGGCAAUACUUUGAACUCCAAAGCAGGACCCUCAUCCAAUGGCAUCAGUGCAGGGUUCCCCAACUCAUAUUUACUUUUCUUUACAUUAACGGGUGAAUGCAAUAAUUUGGAUGGCACGGUCUUCCCUCUAGUGAUAUAUUUAUUCAUUGACAUUUGUUGCGUUGUAUGCUUGUGCCGUCUCUUCCGCUUAUUUCCUUCAACCAAAUAGCUGAAGGAUUUACGCUGAACCCGACUUUGCAAGGAUGCUCUUCGUAUCCGCUUUCUCCUGUCAGUAGCAUCUUCAUCUUCUGAUUCCAUACAUAUGCGCUUCUUUGACUCGCUGUUGUUUUUAACCUUCUGGUGAGAGCUUAUAAUUAUUUGAAGAGUUUUUGGGGGUUCUUCACGACUUGAUUUCUCUUUGCAUCUUUUAGUUAGCUUUAGUUGGUUUCCUUUUUCAGAAGACGACCCAUACAGUGCAAGACAUACCGUUUUAGUCUCCUUCAAAUCAGGAGCUGGGGUGUCUUGCUCAAUCACAUUCAUAAGAGUCAUGUUUGUUGCACAUUUUGUGGGCGAUUCACUUCUUUUCUGCUCUGAAGUUUCAGUCUCUGCCUUGGAGACCUCUUCGGAAGUUGAUAUGUCUUUCGCAAUCUUUGUCUUCACCGUAGUAGGAUCAUGCAGCAAUGGGUUUUCGUCCUCAGAAUCAUCUGUGGCUUCAGAAUCAUCUGUUCUUUCCAGAGCAGCAGCAGCAUCCAUUUCCACACGUUCGCAAUCACCAGGACUGUCUUUUUCAGCCUGCACCUCUAAACUUGUUCUGUGGGCCUCCAUUUGAAUCUCCUUCUCCCUCGACUCUGAUUUUAUCUGGCACAUGCACAACGAGCCAUUUCCAUGUUCUAAAGUUUGAAACCAUUUAGCAAGACAACAGUAAGACUCCAACUGUUCACCACCAGAACUUGGAUAUUUUCUCUCUUUUGGCUUCAUAUCUUCUAGGAGCACUUUUUCAGAAUCGAGUUCCAGGACUUGAACCUUCACCUGGUCCUCAGUGGAAUUAUGAACUGUAGUAUCUUUCUGCAAGUCCUUAUCUUCCGUCUCGCCAGCAAACCAAAGCUUGGCCACUUCAUGAGGGAAAACAUCAAUCUUAAUAGAGUCUAAACUGUCAAUCUUCUCAGUCUCCUCUUCAUUCAUGUUAACAGGAAGUUCUUGACUAGGUUUUGGAUCAGUCUUGCAUCUCAAGCUCUCAUCUGUGAGCAUACAGUCAAUUUCAGGCAUUUCUUCAUCAGAUUCAUUUCGCAUUUGAGAUGGUCCCGUGAGCACUGGAUAAAGUUUUGGCGGACGUGCAUAGUCAAUUCGCCUGGUUGAUCCAUGAGCCAACACUGGACUUUUGGCUCGAUUACAAAGAGGGUCAUCCAGCCUUAAUAUUGCAUUCUUUGGUGUUGGAGCAAUGUCUUUAUUUUCAGCAAAGCAUCGUUUAGCCAUUUCCUGAGUAAGAACAUCAAGCUUAAAAUAAGAUGAAGCAUCCAUCUCAACAAUCUUCUCAUCAUUGAUUUGUACGUAAAAAUCUUGACAAGGUUUUGGAUCAGUCUCACAUCUUAGGGUUUUAUCAAUUUUACUGUUAAGCAUCAUUUCACUGGAUUCAUUUUGCACUUGGGUUAAUGGAACAAACUGCCGUUUUUCAACCACAGGACUAAGCGUCGAUGCUUCGAUUGUGCAGUCACUUUCGCUGGAUGUUUCAUCAAUCAAAAUGGGACUUUGGGCUCCAACACUAUUACCAAAACUGGUGUCCAGUUUUGAUGUUCUAGAUGACUUUUUAUGCUUUUUCAAACCACCAUGUUUUUCAAUUAAUUUUUUAUACUUUAUUAAUGAAACAUUUCGUUUUUCCAGUGUCCUCACCAGGUUUCUCAUGCUGUUCAGUGGAUUAACAGUAUUUGGUUGUUCAUUAAUCUUCGGAGAGACGUUAUCAAUCACUGAUGGAGACUGAGCGUUCGAGGGAACAGGAGAUUCUUCACGAAUCUCAUCGUACAUAUUUUUCUUGGAGGAGAUUUGUUCUUGUUGUACUUUGUCUGUAAAUGGAAUAUGUUCAGCUAAAGAUGACUUGUACUGUUCUGAUAGCAAUGCUAGAACUCUGGAUGCUGAAUAUUUGGCCUUCUCCUCUAGCUUCUGCCUGCUUAUUGGUUCUUCUGUUGAUUUUGUGUCAAGUACUUGGGUUGUGUUCAACAAAGGCGCCUUGUGCUUGUCUGGAAAUGCAGCAAUGAUUUGAUGUCCUUUCAUCUCAUUAGCAAAGCACUGCCUAGCCAUUUCAUGAGGGAGAACGUUCAUCUUAGUGGCUGAAGAAUCCAUCUUGUCAGUCUCCAAUUCAUUCACUUGCACAGGAGUUUCUUGACUAGGUUUUGGCGUGGUCUCAUAUCUCACGUUCUUAUCAAGAACGGCACAUUCAUUAAGCAUUUUUUGACUGGAUCUAACUUGCAUUUCAGAAGAUAACGCAAUCUCCUGUUGUUUUGCAACCACAUGAAUGGGCUUUGGGGAGUUUGUAUAGUCAUUUUGGCCAAUUGAUUUGGGCGACAAAACACUCUUGGUUCCAAAUUGGUUAUCCAAACUUGACUUUCCAGUAGGGACACCUUGUUCACCCAAAUCCACCAUGGCCUCCAGAGAUUUUGCAAUAAUUGGUUGACUGUUGGUUAGUUCUGUAACCUGACAAUUAUGCUUCGGUGAGCAGUUGAUGUUAGCCACAGGUGAUGAUUGUCCAUUAAAUGAAACGGGCACGGUUUCAUGUAGACUCUCCUUGUUUGAUGCUGGUUCAUCUGCUGGUACUUUGUUCUCCACCGCUGAUGGUAAUUGUUUAGUCCCAAUCAAUGAUGGCUUUUCAGUGGCUUCUUGCAAUUUGCUUGGUGCUUCACAUGCCGAGUUUUGUGCUUCGUGUUCGGGGACAUUUUGAAAAGACUUAUAGAACCAAGAAUAACCACAUUCCUUGUCGAUGUCAUCAACGUUUUCAUUAAGAUUCAACCAGGACGACGUGUACGUCAUCUUCGGUGGCACUUCGUUGUGUUUUAAAACGUGAAAAUUCUCAAUGACUUUGCUACGUGCAUCAUUUACAAUUUGCCUCAGUAUCACAGGCUCGUUCAUCGGAGAGUAAAUAUAAACUUCUUCCAUUAUGCUUUGAUAUAUGCCACUUUCUACAACUUCAGAAAACUUGCGAGUAUCCCCAUUCCAGUAAAGUUUUAAGAUGUCCUUCCCAGGAUCAGUUAUGUGGAUGUUCUUCUGAUCCCCAUUUUCUAUUUGCUGAAUCACGGCCAUUAAGGUCUGCAAUCGAUCUAAUGGCCAUUCAAUAAAAGGAACAGUGUCCGGGUCAAUUGUUUUUUUGUCCAUCACUGUACAGUUUUUAUUCAUCUUUUCAGCUGAUUCAUUUUGCAUUUGAGCUGGAACAGACUCGUUUUGUUCUGCAACCACACAUUUCAGGUUCGGACUUUGGUCAGUUGAUUCAUUAGCCAAAACCGGACUCUUGGCUCCAACUACGUUGCAAAGGCCAUCAUUCAGCCUUGGUUCUGCUGACUUUGGUCGUUGAUGCUUGCUUGUUGGGUCAUUUGGUUCUCCCGUUUGGUUCAUCAGAUUAGCGUUGGACACCAGAGGAUGUGGAAUAUUUGGUUGAAGGUGUACAGUCUCUUGCACAGGGUUUACAUUCAUUUUCACAUUAGCAGAUUUGUCUAAUACAUUAACAGGGGCUGUUCCUAUUGGAGACAAUGGUGGGACAACGGCAACAGCUCUCUGAGCAGCAUUAUUCGAUUGCAGGUUCUGUGCACAGGUAGAAAGCAUUUGCACGUUAGCAUUAUUUGUAUUUUCAGCAAACAACAACUGGUAAAGGUAUCCACCAAACAAACUACUUUGGCCAAGAUGUGCAUUUUCUGUUGGAGGACAAUAAUUUAGGUUAGAUGGCAAGCUUUUCCUUGUUUUCGAGGAGUCUUUUGGCAAUUUAGUAGGAGCAUUUGCAUAGUGCUGCCUGCUAUGCAAGUUGCUUGUGUUCACAUUUAUUCUAGGUUCAUUAAGACUUUGAGUGUCUAUUGUUUUAAACUGUUGCAAAUUAUGUGGGCCAGCUGCUGAGGAGGUAGUUUGUGGUUGCAUGUAUAAACUGUUAGUUGAGUUAAAGGCACAAUGUGUCAUGUUUGGCCCAUUAUUGUUGGGAGCACCUUGUAGAUUUAUGUUGUUAACAGGUAGGAAUAUCUGGCAAUUAGAGGGCAUGUUCCACAGAAUAAUUUGGGAGUCCUGUUUUCCUGUUGGCAACAUAUGGUUUGCAUUAGGCUGAUUUUCUUGUGCAAGCUUUGUGCCUUUGGUAGCUUGAACGCCACUAGCCAAAAUCUGGUCACUGGUUGCUGGUUGAACUGUGCAGGUGAAGUAAUUUCCGGUGGCAGUUUGUCCAGAAUAUGAGGGACUUGCAGUGGGAGGUGGUAAACAUAGCUGGUAAAAGUUCUGGCUCGUCCCGUUUCCAGGUGUAGUUCCUUCUCCAUGCAAAUUUUGCAGUUGUCCUGAAUGUUGUGAAUUGGCUUGCAUGCUACUGAAUAUUCAAUUGUAUCUCCAGACAGAAUGUAGGAGUGGAAUAAUCACAUC
ensembl:lncRNA